rnacentral:ncRNA from 2 species
UUAAGAAAAGGGAAAUCUGGGUGUGAAUCCCAAGCUGUCCCGCAACCGUUAAAGCCGGAAUGCCUUCUCUUGA